GGUGGAAUGAGAAAGCUAUUGCAGGUGGCUUAGUUCCUGUAAUGGGUCUCAACAUAGAGGCAAGACUCUAGUGGAGGCAGUCCUAGGAGUCAGUGUUCAGUGAAGGAAUGGAGCAUAGGAGAAACUUAAGAGGGAGGAAUGUUCAAGUGUGAAGGGGGCAGAAGUGGCUUAAAUAUAUAUUUCCACUUGGUGUUUGUUAGGGGGAGCUUCAGGAGAGAGCCCUGUGAGCCCCUACUCUGGAAGAAGGGUGAACUUUGAGAGACUUUGGUGCCUAGGAAGACAGAGAGGUCAUGGAAUGGCACAAGAAUAUAGGUACACAGUGAGUCCAGGAAGAGGCUGUGGGGAAAACCUGCAGACAGGCUGAGAUAGGAAGAAGCCCAGGCAAGAAGCUGAAGAGGGAGGGGGGAUAGUUUCUGAAUAGACAGACCUCAUUUGCUUACUACAGGGUUCCUGGAUUGGAACCAAGAGGAGAGGGAGGAAUUAGGUUUUCCUACAGGCCCACACAGAUAGGUGGUGUGAAGACCCCUGUGACUAGAGAGAGAAGGAUUAGUGAGUCUGUGAGGCCAAUGGACCUUUGUUUUUUGGGCUCUCAGGUAAGACUAUAAAGUGACUUGGCUGGAGGGCUGAGUCAGGAGAAGAAGCAGUCCAUUGCAGGGCUGGAGCAGCUGUUAACGGGAGACCGCCAGAGAUGAGAAGUACUUGCUAUGCCAUGCCUUGCCAUGAGGGGAAACGCCAGUGCAGAAUCUCUACGAAGGGGAGUCCAUCAGUAGCCCACUAACAACAUUUCUGAGAAAUCCACAAUUUGAUAUUACUGGAUCAGAUCCUGCUGCCACAAAACUCUACUUGUUCCUGGAUGUAAGCAGUAAAAUUACUUCUCUGUUUGUGGGUACUGGAUACCCGUAUGUUGCCUGGUGGCUGAUUCUUCACAUUAUUAACAGCUGUGUCUCAAGCAGUAGGACUUCCUACUUUUCUUGAUAAUCAACUAAAUUGGUGAUGGGAUCUUAGCUGGUUUGGCAGUCAGCUUGCUACUGUCUUCGAAUCUCACUGUUUCUGUGGCAUCCCUGCUGAAUAAGAGGCACACAAUGCAUUCUGAGGCAUCAAGAACUGAACGAGCUACAGAGGAAGAUUAGAAGACAGCAAUUGUCCUCAACUGAAACAGAGCCAGACCUGUUAAAGUACCAAGCUUAAAAUAUCAAUAAAAGGGAAGGGAUACUGUAUAUGUCAUUGGUGAAUAGGAGGAAUGUAGAAUCCGAGUCACAGGUCCCCAGAUCCUCAAAGCUAUUUAGGUGCUUAACUCCUACUGUUUUCAAUGGCAGUUAAGUGAUGAAAUGCCUUUGAGGAUCUUGGCCUAAUUCCAGGAUAGGGCAGUCAGCUAACUGUACUAAUGGUAUGAAGGGAUCAAGUCAGGGAGAGCACAGAGUGAUGAAAAUGGAUGUAUAUGGCUAGUAGAGAUGGUCAAAAAAUAGGAGAGGGGGUAGAACUGUAAACAUUUUGUUUCAAAGUUGUUUUUUAAACAGAUUUUGAAAAUUGUUGCAAAAUAUUUUACCAAAAAUUUGGGAGUUUUCCUUCCCCAUCCCCCAUUACUUCUCCUUUUUCCAUUUUGCUACUGAAACAGGGGAAGAAGAUGAAGGCAGAAAAAGAAAUGGAGGGUGUUUUUGGCUGGAGAGAAAGACCUUUUAAUUAAAAACAAAGUUUUGCAAAAUAUUCAUUUUCAACAAAUGAAAACGUUAUUUCAUUUAGAAAAAAUAUGACUAGCUCUGCUGGUGAUAGUGGUAGACAAACCCUUCAACUGAGGGAGGUCAGGAAUUCUUAGGAAUCACUCAGAACUUUGAGGAAUUGGGCCCUCAGCUUGAACAGUACAAUUAAGCGGGUUGGCUUCACUUUCUGCUCCAUAAUCAGUUUCAUAUUCUGAUUCUCAUGGACCAAUACAAUCUGGCUUGGUUUGGGGUUUUUUUCAACAGGUUUAAAUUCAAGCAAAAUCCCCAUUUUUUCCUGAAAUCAGUUCACAAACAUUUCUUGAAAAGUUUGUAUUCAGGUUUUGUGUUUAAAACAACUAAUAAAAACUCAAUCUUGGAUCUAAACUACUUAGUGUCCCUUUAAAUCCUAACAUCAAUAUCUUG